rnacentral:tRNA from 1 species
ACCUGGGUAGCUUAGUUGGUUAAGCGUCUGACUUCAGCCCAGGUCACGAUCUUGCAGUUCGUGAGUUCAAGCCCCACGUCAGGCU